rnacentral:lncRNA from 1 species
CGGCGGGGCUGCUGGGUCUUCCAGGAGCGCGCUUGAGCGGACGCUGCCUACCGGUGGCCGGGCGGGAUGUAACCCGCUGCUGAGCUGGCAGCUCUGUGUCGCUAGGCUUCGGCCCGGCCGCCGCCGCACAUAAGCUGCGAGGAGGAGCUUUACGACUUCCCGGUCUUCGGGGCCGGGCGCAGCAAGGGCCAGACUCUGCGCUAGCAGGCGCUGCGCGCCAACCGGCCGGCACCUGUCGCAGAAGGUGCAACCGAUCGCACUGUCGCGCCGAAGCUCCUCAAUGGCCAGCGCCAGCUGCAGCCCCGGCCGCCCACUCGCCUCACCUGAGCCUGGGAGCUUGAAAAAUCACAUUUGAGAAGAGGAUUGGAUCCUAGCCAUAACAUAAAUAUAAGGGUGGAACCAAAGUUUUAAUCAAAGAAGGUGGUGUUCAGUUGCUGCUUACAAUAGUUGAUACCCCAGGAUUUGGAGAUGCAGUGGAUAACAGUAAUUGCUGGCAGCCUGUUAUCAAUUACAUUGAUAUUAAAUUUGAGGACUACCUAAAUGCAGAAUCGCGAGUGAACAGAUGUCAGAUGCCUGGUAACAGGGUGCAGUGUUGUUUAUACUUCAUUGCUCCUUCAGGACAUGGACCAUUACAUAACUGAAGACUCCCACCUUCAGGCAGGAUUGGGUAGUACGUGUUUGUAACUACCUGGCAUUGCCUUUUGUUGAGGUAAUUUCAGUUUUUAUUAUUAUUAGUAGUAGUAGUAUACUUUAAGUUCUACGGUAUAUCUUCACAAUGUGCAGGUUUGUUACAUAUGUAUACAUGUGCCAUGUUUGUUUGCUGCACCCAUUAACUGGUCAUUUACAUUAGGUAUUUCUCCUAAUACUAUCCCUCCUCCAUCCCCCACCCCACGACAGGCCCUAGUGUAUGAUAUUUCCCGCCCUGUGUCCAGGUGUUCUCAUUGUUCAAUUCCCACCUAUGAGUGAGAAACACCUAUGCGGUGUUUGGGUUUCUGUCCUUGCGAUAGUUUGCUCAGAAUGAUGGUUUCCAGCUUCAUCCAUGUCCCUGCAAAGGACAUGAACUCAUCCUUUUUUAUGGCUGCAUAGUAUUCCAUGGUGUAUAUGUGCCACAUUUUCUUAAUCCAGUCUAUCAUUUUAUGGUGUUCUCAGUUUACAUAUUUAAAUCACUAAACUGACUAUUUGACUUAAAAGGCUCAAAAAAAGUCAUCUCAAAAAUACAACACACUGCAUAACCUUUUAUAAGUAUUUGUGUAGCUUCUUGAAUUUAUAUUUUUAAAUCAUUCUCAUUUAACUUGUCAGGGCCUUUUCCUGAAAGCCAGCAGAGUGAAAUCUUAACCUGCAGUUAAGCCAAUAAAAUUUGUCAGCUUAUAA